AUUGAACGCUGGCGGAAUGCUUUACACAUGCAAGUCGAACGGCAGCACGGGGCAACCUGGUGGCGAGUGGCGAACGGGUGAGUAAUAUAUCGGAACGUGCCCAAAUCGUGGGGGGAUAACGUAGCGAAAGUUACGCUAAUACCGCAUACGAUCUACGGAUGAAAGCGGGGGAUCGCAAGACCUCGCGCGAAUGGAGCGGCCGAUAUCAGAUUAGGUAGUUGGUGGGGUAAAGGCUCACCAAGCCAACGAUCUGUAGCUGGUCUGAGAGGACGACCAGCCACACUGGAACUGAGACACGGUCCAGACUCCUACGGGAGGCAGCAGUGGGGAAUUUUGGUCAAUGGGCGGAAGCCUGAACCAGCCAUCCCGCGUGCAGGAAGACGGCCCUAUGGGGUUGUAAACUGCUUUUCCAGGGGGAGAAACUUUUCCGAUGCAUCGGGAUUUUGACGGUACCCUGGGGAAUAAGCAUCGGCUAACUCCGUG
rnacentral:rRNA from 1 species